rnacentral:rRNA from 1 species
GAUGAACGCUAGCGGCAGGCUUAAUACAUGCAAGUCGAGGGGUAGCAAGAUUGUAGCAAUACAAUUGUUGACGACCGGCAAACGGGUGCGGAAAACGUACGCAACCUUCCUGUUACUGGGGAAUAGCCCAGGGAAACUUGGAUUAAUACCCCAUAUUAUAUUGGUUAGGCAUCUGACUGAUAUCAAAGCUUCGGCGGUAACAGAUGGGCGUGCGGUUGAUUAGGUAGCUGGCGGGGUAAGGGCCCACCAAGCCUACGAUCAAUAGCUGAUGUGAGAGCAUGAUCAGCCACACGGGCACUGAGACACGGGCCCGACUCCUACGGGAGGCAGCAGUAAGGAAUAUUGGGCAAUGGACGAAAGUCUGACCCAGCCAUGCCGCGUGAAGGAUGAAGGUCCUCUGGAUUGUAAACUUCUUUUAUCUGGGGCGGAAAUCGGUUAUUCUUAGCCGCUUGACAGUACCAGAGGAAUAAGCACCGGCUAACUCCGUGCCAGCCGCCGCAGUAACAC